rnacentral:rRNA from 1 species
GGUUUAAUUCGAAGCAACGCGAAGAACCUUACCAGGUCUUGACAUCCCGAUGACCGGCCCGUAACGGGGCCUUCUCUUCGGAGCAUUGGAGACAGGUGGUGCAUGGUUGUCGUCAGCUCGUGUCGUGAGAUGUUGGGUUAAGUCCCGCAACGAGCGCAACCCUUAUCCUCAGUAGCCAGCAGGUAAAGCUGGGCACUCUGUGGAGACUGCCAGGGAUAACCUGGA